GGCAGCGUAGCUCAGAGGAAGAGCAGGGGACUCAUAAGCCCUUGGUCGCUGGUUCGAAUCCAGCCGCUGCCA
rnacentral:tRNA from 1 species